rnacentral:rRNA from 1 species
GACGAACGCUGGCGGCGUGCUUAACACAUGCAAGUCGAACGGAAAGGCCCUGCUUUUGUGGGGUGCUCGAGUGGCGAACGGGUGAGUAACACGUGAGUAACCUGCCCUUGACUUUGGGAUAACUUCAGGAAACUGGGGCUAAUACCGGAUAGGAGCUCCUGCUGCAUGGUGGGGGUUGGAAAGUUUCGGCGGGUGGGGAUGGACUCGCGGCUUAUCAGCUUGUUGGUGGGGUAGUGGCUUACCAAGGCUUUGACGGGUAGCCGGCCUGAGAGGGUGACCGGCCACAUUGGGACUGAGGUACGGCCCAGACUCCUACGGGAGGCAGCAGUGGGGAGUAUUGCACAAUGGUCGGAAGCCUGAUGCAGCAACGCCGCGUGCGGGAUGACGGCCUUCGGGGUGUAAACCGCUGUCGCCUGUGACGAAGCGUGAGUGACGGUAAUGGGUAAAGAAGCACCGGCUAACUACGUG